rnacentral:rRNA from 1 species
CCUACGGGAGGCAGCAGUUAGGAAUAUUGGGCAAUGGAGGAAACUCUGACCCAGCAACGCCGCGUGAAGGAAGAAGGUUUUCGGAUUGUAAACUUCUGAUCUGUGGGAAGAAGAAAAUGCCGGUACCAUUGAAGAAAGCAACGGCUAACUACGUGCCAGCAGCCCCGGUAAUAGGUAGGUGGCGAGCGUUGUCCGGAUUAACUGGGGGUAAAGGGGGCGUAGGUGGUUAAAUAAGUUAGUUGUGAAUCCACCGGGCUCAACUCUGGAAUUGCACUUAAACCUGGUUAACUAGAGUGCAGGAGAGGUGAACGGAAUUUCUUGUGUAGCGGUGAAAUGCGUAGAUAUUAGGAAGAACACCAGAGGCGAAGGCGGUUCACUGGACGGCAACUGACAGUGAGGCGCGAAAGCGUGGGGAGCAAACAGGAUUAGAUACCCCGGUAGUC